CAACCAAAACCUAAUUAUAUUAAAACUCCCACCCCACCGUGCCCCUACCCAGUCGCCGACACUCCACCCCACCAGACCCCUACCCCUCCCCGCCGCUGACGCCCCAUCCCCACCACUGCCUGUCCCUUGUCGCCGCCACUAAAGGCUGUGGGAGCAUCAAGAGCUACUGGAGGAGAAUACCCUGAAAGAGUCGGUCAAUCUGUUUGCCAGACGCUCAAGAGGGGUCAGGAAAUACCUCAAGAUGAAGUCUUCAAGAUUACUCACACGAGGAAGGCGAAGAACGCUGAUGGUACGGACCAAUGGAUUGAGCCUAGGGCUCAGCAAACCUAUACCGAGUUUCAACAACACAGAUUGAUUGUGCCAGUCAACCAGCCGGGACGUCGAUGACUAACGAGAUAAUUGCUCAGCAGUGGAUGGAGAAGGUAGCUCCCCCGACAAGGUAUGGGACAGUUUAUGGGAUGCCUAAUCAAGCAUGUCGUCAAUUUCUGUCGUUCCUUCAAGGCGUAGGUACUACUUCUGAAGGGGCAGUGGAUCCUAAGGAGUACCAAGAAAUGAAGCUGAAAGUUAGUCAACUAACAAGUACACUUAGUUCCACGGAGGCAAGGAUGUUGCAUAUGCAGGCCCAAAUUGACAGCUUACUCAACUCGGGGCCCUCUCAUAUUCCCCCGUGUCCCGGGGAUGCUCGUAGGUCACAGCCCAGUAGACGACGUAGGUCACAAGACAACGUAGUUCAUGCUCUUGUUGAUGAGGAUAGUGGGGAGGAAUCGGAUCAUGUCUCUAACACCCAACGUUGACUUUUUUGAUUCGUAUACUUUUGGAUUGUAAUAUUGCUAUGUUUUCUUGGAUAUGUAUAUUUUUUUUAUGAUAGUUUUAAUUCGAAUUAGAUGUACUUUUGAAGGUGAAUUUGAUUGUAGGAAGUAGUUUAUGGAUGUUUUAACUUUACGAUGUUUAGGUGUUUGAAUGUAGAAAGUAGUUUAUGGUUGUUUAACUUUACGAUGUUCAAGUGUUUGAAUGUAGUUUUAAGGAUAUUUAGAAGUACUUUAAAUUGAAACUUGAGGUUGAAUUUGAUUUUAGAAUGUGAAGUUUAUGAUUGUAGAAGUACUUUGAUGAAUUGGACGUGUUGAUGAAUUGCAUUGUUGA